GAUGAACGCUAGCGGCAGGCCUAAUACAUGCAAGCCGAACGGCAAGCUUUGUAGCAAUACAGAGCCUAGAGUGGCGUAAGGGUGCGUAACACGUAUGGAAUCUGCCCUCAACAGGAGGAUAGCUCCCCGAAAGGGGAAUUAACACUCCAUAGGAUAUAGGUGUGGCAUCACAUUUAUAUUAAACCGCAAGGGGUUGAGGAUGAGCAUGCGCAUGAUUAGUUAGUUGGCGGGGUAACGGCCCACCAAGACGAUGAUCAUUAGGGGAACUGAGAGGUUGA
rnacentral:rRNA from 1 species